rnacentral:lncRNA from 1 species
UUUUAUUUAAUUGUUGAAAAUAUUGGCAUAUAAUGAAAAUUGUUUCUUUCUUGACUAUUUGAUAAAAUUGGCAAAAUCAGUGAGGUAUAUAGAUUUUCUUACGGGAAGAUAUAAAGUUACAUAAGAUUUAUUACUUGACUAGAAAUAAGACAGUUCAGAUUUUUAAUUAUUGUUAGUUAUUUUUUUUUACUUUCACAGGGAAACAUCCAUAUAAGUUUCUGAACUCAUUGAUACAACCUGGUUCAUAACAUGUUAUUAUACUGUCAGUGUCAAAGAGUCACUAUCUGAUUCUUUUUCAUUUCUAACAAUGAUUAUUUUUGUCUUUUAUAUAUGUCUUGUUCGGUCUCAUCACAUAGUUGGUUUAAAAAUUUGUAAUUGUUUCAUAUGUCAAAUUUUAGAUUUGUUGAUAACAUCUGUUUUCUAUUUCCUUAAUUUGUGAUUUUCGCCUUUUUUUCCUUGCUUAUGAACUGAACUUUUUUUAAAAUCUUUGAUAAGUUUGUUUUACCAUUUUACCUUAAAGUGUAUUUUAUCUCACAUUAAUAUAAUCAGACCAUAUUUUUCUUGGUUGAAUUUUUUGAAUUGGGGCUACAUUUUUUUUUUUUGGUCUUUUUAGGGCUGUACCUGCGAUAUAUGGAGGUUCCCAGGCUAGGGGUUGAAUCCAAGCUGUAGCCACCAGCCUACACCACAGCUGCAGCAACGUCAGAUCUGAGCCACCUCUAUGACCUACACCUCAACUCAUGGCAGCGCCAGAGCCUUAACCCACUGAGCAAGGCCAGGGAUUGAACCUGCAUCCUCAUGGAUACUAGUCAGAUUCAUUUCAGCUGAGCCAAGAUGGGAAUUCAUACAUUUUUAUUUUUAACCCUUCUGUAUCCUUAUGUUUUAGAUGCAUAUAUUAUAACUAAAUAGCUGGAGUUUAAAAAUUCAAAUACGAUAAUUUCUGUCUUUUACCUGAAGCAUUUUAUCACUUAUGUUAGUCAUAAUUACUUAUAGAUUAGCCUAUUUGUAUACAACCAUUUAUUUUUUAUUUGUAUUUUCUUUUGACCAUGCCUGUGGCAAUGUGGAAGUUUAUAUAUAACAAUUUAUCAUGUAACUCUAUUUGUCCCACCCUUCUGUGUUUCUUUCAUUUUUUUGUCCUCUUCUAAUCAAUUAUGUACUUAUUCCCGAUUCUCUUUUUACUUAUACUAGUUCAGAAAUUAUGAAUACUGUUUAUUUUUUUUAACAUUCGCUCUUGUAAUUACAACAUGAACAUGCAACUAAUCAAAGUGAAUGAAUAGCAAACUCUCCCUCAUCCAGAAGGAUCUUUGGUUUCCUUUUUCUUUUUUUCAAACUCCUUACUGAGAUAUAAUUCCUACCAUACAAUCAACUAUUUAAAGUGAAGAAUUCAAUGUUUCGUCAUAUAUUCACAAAGUUGUGCAACCAUUACCACAAUCUAAUUUCUGGAAAAUAUUCCUUCCCCCAAAAGAAACCACUUGUUCGGGAGUGGAUAAGCAAUGAGAUUCUGCUGUAUAGCUGAGGAAAUGAAAUCUAAUCAUUUGUGAUGGAACAUCACGAUGGAGGAUAACGUGGGUAUAUAUAUGUAUAUAUAUAUAUAUAUAUAUACACACACAUAUAUAUAUAUGAAUGACUGGGUCAUUUUGCUAUACAGUAAACAUUGACAGAACACUGUAAAUCAACUACAAUGGAAAAAAUAAAAAUCAUGUAAACUUAACAAAAUAAAAAAAGUAAAAUGAGCUUGGGACAACAACAACAAAAAAGAAACCACUUGUUCAUUAGCAAUUAUUCCUCACCUCCUAAUAUCCUCCCUCACCCCAAGCAACCAUUAAUCUACUAUCUACUGGUACAGAUUUGCCUAUUCUAGAUAUUUAAUAUAAAUAACAUAAUAUAUGAUCUUUAUGUCUGGUCUCUUUCUUUUAGCAUAACGUUUUCAAGAUUUAUGACAUUGUAGAAUGUAUCAGAACACUUUUACGACCGAAUAAUAUUCUAUUGGAGACAUAGCACAUCUUACUUAUCCAUUCAUUGGUUGAGGGAUAUUUGUGUUGUUUCUGCUCUUCGACUGUUAAUAAUGUUAUAAACAUUCAUGGACAGGUUUUUGUGUGACCAUAUGUUUCCUCUCUCCCACCCCUCCUCCCCUACCCUCUGCCUCCCUCUCCUUUUCCCUCCACUUCUCUUUUUUUCUUUUCUCUCUUUCUCUCUCCCUCCCUCUUUCCCUCCAUCUCUUGGAAUAUGUGUCUGAUAAUUCCCUUUUAUGAAAUUUUUACUUAUCUAUUUCUGUUGCCCUUUUUUUACUAGUCUCACUCAAAGACACCUCACUUACUUAUAAGUUUAAUUAUUUUUGACCACGUGGCAUGUGGAAGUUCCUGGCCCAGGGAUCAAACCCAGGCCACAUCAGCAACCAGAGUCACUGCAGCAACAACACUGGAUCCUUAACCUGCUAAGUUACUAGGGAACUCCACCUAUUUAUACUUUUAAACUUACCUUCGGUGAGACAUUAAUCCAAGAUAACUGGAAGCAAUAAAUCCCUGGACACAAAGCCAGGGACACCUUUUCCUUAUUACAGUCUGUAUAACUACCAUGAGACAAAGGUUGACUGAAAAGACCUACCUGUAUUUAGUAACUUGAGUUGACACCAGCCAACUUAUUAUGCUUAAAUGCUGCUGUUUAUACAAUACCUGUUACUAGCACUUGAGUUUGAAUUAGCUAAUGGAAAACAAUAGAAUAUGUUAUGAUUAGAGGGACUAUUGUAUGUUCUAGUAAAGCAGACCAGGGUCAAAAUUCUCUUUAACCUUUACCAGGUGUAUUGUAUUGGGCUUCAGUUUUUCCCAUUUGUAAAAUGAGGAUAAUGAUAAGAUCAAUCUUGUAAGAUUAAUGCCAAGGUAAUGCAUUUAAAGAUGUGAAACACCCAGCAAAAUAAUUGAAAUAUAGUAAAACUUUUAGUAAAGUUUAGCCCUGUGCUCAUUAUCUCUGAUUAUCAGGCAGUUCAAGAAUGGGACACCGGGUAGGUCAGUCUUAAAGGAAAUAGGAUUUGGAAAGUUCACAGAUCUUCAAGAAAGAGUGGUGACCUUCUGGAAAGUCAGGCAACACUCAUGAAGGUACCAGCUCUCAAAAGGAGGGGAUAGAGAUAUGAAUGGUGCAGAGAUUAAUUUUACUAGUUCCACAAUUUCUCCAGGGCUAGUCUAGGAAAAUAAAUUGCUUUAGGUCUAAGGUUCCUUGGGAAGUCUGUUCAUACAACAACAGUACUUUGAUGACUUUCUUAAGUGUGAGGUUGAAGAAUGUGAUAGAGGUUAGGUUCACAUCUGAACAAGGACCUGCUUGAUACUGCCUUAUACUCAUUUCCGCCCGUCCAGUCCUCCGAAACACAGCCCCAAAGAGAAGUUGCUGUAAAUUCCUAUUUUAAGAUGUCAAGAUAGGUGACCAUGUACAUAAGGGGAAAGGGGACAAAAGAAGGAAGCUGAAAGCUAAAGGACACAGAAGGACCUUGGACUCUGUGUGGUGUGUGGGAAGCAUUAGAGAUGCUUCCAGAUGUGAUUAACUACAAAGAAAAGCAAGGACUGUAACUGAAGCCAGAAUAGUGCCUAUGUCUAGGGGAGAGGCACCAGAAGGGAUUGCAGGGCAAGGGGGUGGGGGUUAUUUUGGUAGGGCUGUUUCUUGCCUUGUGUGGAGUUAACACUUAUGAUCAUUUGCAAAACAAGUCUAUAAAUGUUUUAUCCACAUUUCUGUAUUAUCUUAUAUUUCUCAGGCUUAAAAUUGAAAAGAAUUACCAUGUUAAAAUUUAAAAAUAUUUAACAGCACUCAUUACUUUGUGAAAGUAUAUUACACACACAGCCAGUUUUUAGUUAUUUUCAUUGAUUACCCUCCUUAGAAUGAUUUAUCAUGUUCUGAUCUCCAGCUGGUUUAUUUUAUUUAUUUAUUUAUUUAUUUAUUUAUUUAUUGGCUAUGCCCAUGGCAUGCAGGUGUUCUCAGGCCAUGGAUCAAACCCAAGCCACGGCAGCGACAUCAAGUUCUUAACCCGCUGAGCCACCAGGGAACUCUCCUCCAGCAGUUUUAUCCUUGACAACUGGCAUACUUUAAGCCGUUUCCCACACUCUCAGAUGCUGGAAGCAGUGCCUGGCUUUUACCCAUUAUCCAAUUUAAAAGAUAAUAGUCACAAUCUUUCUUACAUCCAUCAAUAAUCAAUACCAGCUAUUUGUUAUUAUAAAUCCAAACAAUGCUUAUAAAGCGGUUUGUCUGCCAUCUUCCUACACCCACCCCCUCAGCUUGCACUGAACCCCUGGCGUGGGGAGGCUCAGGUGCAAGAGUUUGCUCCAAAGGGAGCCCGGCCUGACCAGAAAUCUGGAACUCAUCUUUCAACAAAGACAGAAAGGAGUUCUCAUGUGACACAGUGAGUUAAGGAUCUCGCAUUGUCAUUGCAAAGGCUUGGGUCGCUGCUGUGGUGUGGGUUCAAUCCCUGGCCCAGGAACUUCCACAUGCUGCAGGCACAGCCAAAAGAAAAACAAAACAAAACAAAACAGAAACAUGAAGCAGCCAGAUGCCCUAAGUGCAGCCUUUCCUCUAAAGGGGUUCAGAGUGUUUCACUUCAAAAAAAUCAUGCCAUUCUGUCAUACGGAUUUUGAACAGCAGACAACUGAGACGAAACAGUCAAACUCUCUGUCCUCCCCCUAUUUGCCUAAAUGAGGACCUAAAUGUGUAAAUGGGUCCCCCCUUCUCCCCUCUACCAGGAAGAACAGAGGUUAAUCACUAGAGACAACUACAGACCCUUAUCAACCCUGAGAUGGCGGCAGAGAAAUCCACAUAACGUACCUUACAAAGUAAGUUUUCUCUUCCAUUAGUUUCCCCAUAUAUUUACUGGUCCACAAUUUGCCACCUAAAACCCUCCUUCCUCUGUCCUGUCACUUUUCUACAAAAGCACUGUCUUGGCUCAGAUGCUUUGUAAGCCCCAAGAUCUAAUUAUGUCUUUGAGUAGCUCAUCACUGAAUAAGCCCCUGUGUAUGCACAAUACACAUGUUAGUGUAUUAAUAAACUUCUCUUGUUUUGUACUUGUUAACCUGUCUUUUGUCAGUCUAAUUUACAGGGCCCCAUUAGAGAACCAAAGAGGGUACUGGAAAAAGGUUUUCCAUCCUUUCCCAACUUAUCUCUUCACACAUGUGAAGAUUGCCCUUGCAAUGCCCAUUCUCUAAUUUCUGGAGUUGGUUUACCUUUUGAGUUAUGGUUAUGGCCCCCUCUCACCACUACCCGUCAUGCAGAGUGGUUUCUCCUGGCUAUUCCUCGACUCUGCCCCUGGAAUCAGUCCUUCUCUCUGUCACUCUCUCUACUCAUGCACAGGAUAACACCACUUAGGCAUUUGCUUCCCAAAUUGACAGACUACUUUUCCCCUAUCCUCUGAAUUAUUCGUUCCAUCAAUGCACAGACUAUAAUAGUUUCCAUUUCAAACCAAAAAAAAAAAAAAAAA